GUGCAGCAGUCGAGAAUACUUCACACUGUGCGAAAGCACGAUGAGGGAAUCCCAAGUGCUUGCACGUAAGUGUAAGCUGUUUCUCUGUCUAAAACGCAGAGAGAGUAAGGGCUGGGUAAGACGGGUGCCAGCCGCCGCGGUAAUACCUGCAGCUCAAGUGGUGACCGUUAUUAUUGGGCCUAAAAACGUCCGUAGCCGGUUUAAUAAAAUGCCUGGGUAAAUUGCGUAGCUUAAACUAUACGAAUUCCGGGUAGACUGUUAAACUUGAGACCGGGAGAAGUAGGGUACUCCUGGGUAGAGGUGAAAA
rnacentral:rRNA from 1 species